rnacentral:rRNA from 1 species
GACGAACGCUGGCGGCGUGCCUAAUACAUGCAAGUCGAACGCUUCUUUUCCCACCGGAGCUUGCUCCACCGGGAAAAGAGGAGUGGCGAACGGGUGAGUAACACGUGGGUAACCUGCCCAUCAGAAGGGGAUAACACUUGGAAACAGGUGCUAAUACCGUAUAACAAUCGAAACCGCAUGGUUUCGUUUUGAAAGGCGCUUUACGGUGCCGCUGAUGGAUGGACCCGCGGUGCAUUAGCUAGUUGGCGAGGUAACGGCUCACCAAGGCCACGAUGCAUAGCCGACCUGAGAGGGUGAUCGGUCACAUUGGGACUGAGACACGGCCCAAACUCCUACGGGAGGCAGCAGUAGGGAAUCUUCGGCAAUGGACGAAAGUCUGACCGAGCAACGCCGCGUGAGUGAAGAAGGUUUUCGGAUCGUAAAACUCUGUUGUUAGAGAAGAACAAGGGUGAGAGUAACUGUUCACCCCUUGACGGUAUCUAACCAGAAAGCCACGGCUAACUACGUGCCAGCAGCCGCGGUAA